rnacentral:rRNA from 1 species
AGCGUACACGGUGGAUGCCCUGGCAGUCAGAGGCGAUGAAGGACGUGCUAAUCUGCGAUAAGCGUCGGUAAGGUGAUAUGAACCGUUAUAACCGGCGAUUUCCGAAUGGGGAAACCCAGUGUGAUUCGUCACACUAUCAUUAACUGAAUCCAUAGGUUAAUGAGGCGAACCGGGGGAACUGAAACAUCUAAGUACCCCGAGGAAAAGAAAUCAACCGAGAUUCCCCCAGUAGCGGCGAGCGAACGGGGAGGAGCCCAGAGCCUGAAUCAGUGUGUGUGUUAGUGGAAGCGUCUGGAAAGGCGCGCGAUACAGGGUGACAGCCCCGUACACAAAAAUGCACAUGCUGUGAGCUCGAUGAGUAGGGCGGGACACGUGGUAUCCUGUCUGAAUAUGGGGGGACCAUCCUCCAAGGCUAAAUACUCCUGACUGACCGAUAGUGAACCAGUACCGUGAGGGAAAGGCGAAAAGAACCCCGGCGAGGGGAGUGAAAAAGAACCUGAAACCGUGUACGUACAAGCAGUGGGAGCCUCUUUAUGGGGUGACUGCGUACCUUUUGUAUAAUGGGUCAGCGACUUAUAUUCUGUAGCAAGGUUAACCGAAUAGGGGAGCCGAAGGGAAACCGAGUCUUAACUGGGCGUUAAGUUGCAGGGUAUAGACCCGAAACCCGGUGAUCUAGCCAUGGGCAGGUUGAAGGUUGGGUAACACUAACUGGAGGACCGAACCGACUAAUGUUGAAAAAUUAGCGGAUGACUUGUGGCUGGGGGUGAAAGGCCAAUCAAACCGGGAGAUAGCUGGUUCUCCCCGAAAGCUAUUUAGGUAGCGCCUCGUGAAUUCAUCUCCGGGGGUAGAGCACUGUUUCGGCAAGGGGGUCAUCCCGACUUACCAACCCGAUGCAAACUGCGAAUACCGGAGAAUGUUAUCACGGGAGACACACGGCGGGUGCUAACGUCCGUCGUGAAGAGGGAAACAACCCAGACCGCCAGCUAAGGUCCCAAAGUCAUGGUUAAGUGGGAAACGAUGUGGGAAGGCCCAGACAGCCAGGAUGUUGGCUUAGAAGCAGCCAUCAUUUAAAGAAAGCGUAAUAGCUCACUGGUCGAGUCGGCCUGCGCGGAAGAUGUAACGGGGCUAAACCAUGCACCGAAGCUGCGGCAGCGACACUAUGUGUUGUUGGGUAGGGGAGCGUUCUGUAAGCCUGUGAAGGUGUACUGUGAGGUAUGCUGGAGGUAUCAGAAGUGCGAAUGCUGACAUAAGUAACGAUAAAGCGGGUGAAAAGCCCGCUCGCCGGAAGACCAAGGGUUCCUGUCCAACGUUAAUCGGGGCAGGGUGAGUCGACCCCUAAGGCGAGGCCGAAAGGCGUAGUCGAUGGGAAACAGGUUAAUAUUCCUGUACUUGGUGUUACUGCGAAGGGGGGACGGAGAAGGCUAUGUUGGCCGGGCGACGGUUGUCCCGGUUUAAGCGUGUAGGCUGGUUUUCCAGGCAAAUCCGGAAAAUCAAGGCUGAGGCGUGAUGACGAGGCACUACGGUGCUGAAGCAACAAAUGCCCUGCUUCCAGGAAAAGCCUCUAAGCAUCAGGUAACAUCAAAUCGUACCCCAAACCGACACAGGUGGUCAGGUAGAGAAUACCAAGGCGCUUGAGAGAACUCGGGUGAAGGAACUAGGCAAAAUGGUGCCGUAACUUCGGGAGAAGGCACGCUGAUAUGUAGGUGAAGCGACUUGCUCGUGGAGCUGAAAUCAGUCGAAGAUACCAGCUGGCUGCAACUGUUUAUUAAAAACACAGCACUGUGCAAACACGAAAGUGGACGUAUACGGUGUGACGCCUGCCCGGUGCCGGAAGGUUAAUUGAUGGGGUUAGCGGUAACGCGAAGCUCUUGAUCGAAGCCCCGGUAAACGGCGGCCGUAACUAUAACGGUCCUAAGGUAGCGAAAUUCCUUGUCGGGUAAGUUCCGACCUGCACGAAUGGCGUAAUGAUGGCCAGGCUGUCUCCACCCGAGACUCAGUGAAAUUGAACUCGCUGUGAAGAUGCAGUGUACCCGCGGCAAGACGGAAAGACCCCGUGAACCUUUACUAUAGCUUGACACUGAACAUUGAGCCUUGAUGUGUAGGAUAGGUGGGAGGCUUUGAAGUGUGGACGCCAGUCUGCAUGGAGCCGACCUUGAAAUACCACCCUUUAAUGUUUGAUGUUCUAACGUUGGCCCCUGAUCGGGGUUGCGGACAGUGUCUGGUGGGUAGUUUGACUGGGGCGGUCUCCUCCUAAAGAGUAACGGAGGAGCACGAAGGUUGGCUAAUCCUGGUCGGACAUCAGGAGGUUAGUGCAAUGGCAUAAGCCAGCUUGACUGCGAGCGUGACGGCGCGAGCAGGUGCGAAAGCAGGUCAUAGUGAUCCGGUGGUUCUGAAUGGAAGGGCCAUCGCUCAACGGAUAAAAGGUACUCCGGGGAUAACAGGCUGAUACCGCCCAAGAGUUCAUAUCGACGGCGGUGUUUGGCACCUCGAUGUCGGCUCAUCACAUCCUGGGGCUGAAGUAGGUCCCAAGGGUAUGGCUGUUCGCCAUUUAAAGUGGUACGCGAGCUGGGUUUAGAACGUCGUGAGACAGUUCGGUCCCUAUCUGCCGUGGGCGCUGGAGAACUGAGGGGGGCUGCUCCUAGUACGAGAGGACCGGAGUGGACGCAUCACUGGUGUUCGGGUUGUCAUGCCAAUGGCACUGCCCGGUAGCUAAAUGCGGAAGAGAUAAGUGCUGAAAGCAUCUAAGCACGAAACUUGCCCCGAGAUGAGUUCU